GACGAACGCUGGCGGCGUGCUUCAUACAUGCAAGUCGAACGAGAAGCUGACUUCGGUCAGUGGAAAGUGGCGGACGGGUGAGUAAUAUGUAGGAAAUCUGCCUUUAGGAGGGGGACAACAGAGGGAAACUUCUGCUAAUACCCCAUAUGAGCGUAGCUGAAAUGCUAUUCUUGAAAACUCCGGUGCCUAAAGAUGAGCCUGCAUCUGAUUAGCUAGUUGGUAGUGUAAUGGACUGCCAAGGCGACGAUCAGUAGCUGGUUUGAGAGGAUGAUCAGCCACAAUGGGACUGAGACACGGCCCAUACUCCUACGGGAGGCAGCAGUAGGGAAGUUUGCGCAAUGGGCGAAAGCCUGACGCAGCAACGCCGCGUGAACGAUUAAGCCCUUCGGGGUGUAAAGUUCUGUCAGUGGGGACGAAACUUGACGGUACCCACAGAGGAAGCACCGGCUAACUCCGUG
rnacentral:rRNA from 1 species